GUUGUGAGGUUAAGCGACCAAGCGUACACGGUGGAUGCCCUGGCAGUCAGAGGCGAUGAAGGACGUGCUAAUCUGCGAAAAGCGCCGGUAAGGUGAUAUGAACCGUUAUAACCGGCGAUGUCCGAAUGGGGAAACCCAGUGUGACUCGUCACACUAUCAUUAACUGAAUCCAUAGGUUAAUGAGGCGAACCGGGGGAACUGAAACAUCUAAGUACCCCGAGGAAAAGAAAUCAACCGAGAUUCCCCCAGUAGCGGCGAGCGAACGGGGAGGAGCCCAGAGCCUGAAUCAGCAUAUGUGUUAGUGGAAGCGUCUGGAAAGGCGCGCGAUACAGGGUGACAGCCCCGUACACAAAAGUGCAUAUGCUGUGAGCUCGAUGAGUAGGGCGGGACACGUGGUAUCCUGUCUGAAUAUGGGGGGACCAUCCUCCAAGGCUAAAUACUCCUGACUGACCGAUAGUGAACCAGUACCGUGAGGGAAAGGCGAAAAGAACCCCGGCGAGGGGAGUGAAACAGAACCUGAAACCGUGUACGUACAAGCAGUGGGAGCAUGAGUUUACUCAUGUGACUGCGUACCUUUUGUAUAAUGGGUCAGCGACUUAUAUUCUGUAGCAAGGUUAACCGUAUAGGGGAGCCGCAGGGAAACCGAGUCUUAACCGGGCGUUAAGUUGCAGGGUAUAGACCCGAAACCCGGUGAUCUAGCCAUGGGCAGGUUGAAGGUUGGGUAACACUAACUGGAGGACCGAACCGACUAAUGUUGAAAAAUUAGCGGAUGACCUGUGGCUGGGGGUGAAAGGCCAAUCAAACCGGGAGAUAGCUGGUUCUCCCCGAAAGCUAUUUAGGUAGCGCCUCGUGAA
rnacentral:rRNA from 1 species